UACAGCCAUAUCAGGAUGAAACACCGGUACUCGUAUGAUCACCGAAGUUAAUCAAGGUGGAACCUGGUCACUACCUAGAUCUGUGACCUCUUAGGAAUACCAGAUGCUGUAAG